CAGGCGGCCUGUUAAGUCAGAUGUAGAAAGGCCCGGGGACCUUAACCGUACGGUAAGUUGCUAUUUAGUAAACGUGGCGAGGCUAGAGUCUUGUAGAGGGGGGUAGGAAUUUCAGGUGUAGCGGUGAAAUGCGUAGAGAUCUGAAGGAAUACCAGUGGCGAAGGCGGCCCCCUGGACAAAGACUGACGCUCAGAUGCGAAAGCGUGGGGAGCGAACAGGAUUAGAUACCCUGGUAG
rnacentral:rRNA from 1 species